rnacentral:misc_RNA from 1 species
GCUACUACCGAUUGAAUGGUUUAGCAAGAUGCUCGGAUCGGGCCCAGCUCGUGCGAAAGCAUGUGCCGGGACUGAGAAGAAGUUCAAGCUUGAUCAUUUAGAGGAAGUAAAAGUCGUAACAAGGUUUCCGUAGGUGAACCUGCAGAAGGAUCAAGUUUGAACAACUUUUCGGCAGUCCGCUGCUCCGUUGCCGGGGCGGCGGCGCCAAUCAGGAGUCCUCACUAAACCAUUCAAUCG